AAGAGCUCAGAUUUGAAAUCGUGCUUUGCGGCACGAGUUGUAGAUUGCAGGUUGGAGUCUGUGUGGAAGGCGGUGUCCAAGUCCCUUGGAACAGGGCGCCCAGGAGGGUGAGAGCCCCGUGGGAUGCCGGCGGAAGCAGUGAGGCCCUUCUGACGAAUCGAGUUGUUUGGGAAUGCAGCUCCAAGCGGGUGGUAAAUUCCAUCUAAGGCUAAAUACUGGCGAGAGACCGAUAGCGAACAAGUACUGUGAAGGAAAGAUGAAAAGCACUUUGAAAAGAGAGUGAAACAGCACGUGAAAUUGUUGAAAGGGAAGGGUAUUGCGCCCGACAUGGGGAUUGCGCACCGCUGCCUCUCGUGGGCGGCGCUCUGGGCUUUCCCUGGGCCAGCAUCGGUUCUUGCUGCAGGAGAAGGGGUUCUGGAACGUGGCUCUUCGGAGUGUUAUAGCCAGGGCCAGAUGCUGCGUGCGGGGACCGAGGACUGCGGCCGUGUAGGUCACGGAUGCUGGCAGAACGGCGCAACACCGCCCGUCUUGAAACACGGACC
rnacentral:rRNA from 1 species